UACAGAGGGUGCAAGCGUUAAUCGGAAUUACUGGGCGUAAAGCGCGCGUAGGCGGUUUGUUAAGUCGGAUGUGAAAUCCCCGGGCUCAACCUGGGCAUUGCAUCCGAUACUGGCUGACUAGAGUGUGGGAGAGGAAGGUAGAAUUCCAGGUGUAGCGGUGAAAUGCGUAGAGAUCUGGAGGAAUACCGAUGGCGAAGGCAGCCUUCUGGCCUAACACUGACGCUGAGGUGCGAAAGCAUGGGAGCAAACAGG
rnacentral:rRNA from 1 species